UCCUACGGGAGGCAGCAGUGGGGAAUAUUGGACAAUGGGGGCAACCCUGAUCCAGCAAUGCCGCGUGAGUGAUGAAGGCCUUAGGGUUGUAAAGCUCUUUUACCAGGGAUGAUAAUGACAGUACCUGGAGAAUAAGCUCCGGCUAACUCCGUGCCAGCAGCCGCGGUAAUACGGAGGGAGCUAGCGUUGUUCGGAAUUACUGGGCGUAAAGCGCACGUAGGCGGCUAUUCAAGUCAGAGGUGAAAGCCCGGGGCUCAACCCCGGAACUGCCUUUGAAACUAGAUAGCUUGAAUCCAGGAGAGGUGAGUGGAAUUCCGAGUGUAGAGGUGAAAUUCGUAGAUAUUCGGAAGAACACCAGUGGCGAAGGCGGCUCACUGGACUGGUAUUGACGCUGAGGUGCGAAAGCGUGGGGAGCAAACAGGAUUAGAUACCCGGGUAGUC
rnacentral:rRNA from 1 species